rnacentral:tRNA from 1 species
GAUGCGGUGGACUAAUGGUUAGCGCGUUGGACUCCGGAUCGAGCGGACCGGGUUCGAACCCUGGCCUGGGUCA